CAAACCUAAUUAGCCCCAUGAAUUCAAAAAAAUUUUUUUUAAAUAAUUUUAUUCUGUAAGUGCACAUGAAUAUUUUUAUAUAAAUUUCAACACAAUAACUAUUCUGUUUAAGAUCAAGAAACUAGGAAGUGAAGAGAGCUCUCCAGAACUGUACAUGUCAUUGUGACAUUACCAUUAAGGUGAAGUUAUUUAAACAUUAUUCUUUUUUCAUAUAAUAUCUUGUUUUGUUUGUGAAUUGUGUUGUCAUGGCGGCCGUCAACAAAUGUUUUCAUUUUGUCUUUUAUUGUCCAUUUAGUGCAUGCUUUUUAUAUUUUUUAAAAUUGUUUUCUUAAAGUUUACUUUCAUUCUUUUAGUAUAUAGUUAUUGUUUAAAUCUUUUGGUGAAAAAGUCUAAUUCUUUUAGUUUUAAAGUAUUAUUUUCAGAGGUUUCCAGUUAAAGACAGUCUUAUUUGGAAGUGAAAAAGAUCAAGAAACAAGGAAGUGAAGAGAGCUCUCCAGAACUGUACAUGUCAUUGUGACAUUACCAUUAAGGUGAAGUUAUUUAAACAUUAUUCUUUUUUCAUAUAAUAUCUUGUUUUGUUUGUGAAUUGUGUUGUCAUGGCGGCCGUCAACAAAUGUUUUCAUUUUGUCUUUUAUUGUCCAUUUAGUGCAUGCUUUUUAUAUUUUUAAAAAUUGUUUUCUUAAAGUUUACUUUCAUUCUUUUAGUAUAUAGUUAUUGUUUAAAUCUUUUGGUGAAAAAGUCUAAUUCUUUUAGUUUUAAAGUAUUAUUUUCAGAGGUUUCCAGUUAAAGACAGUCUUAUUUGGAAGUGAAAAAGAUCAAGAAACAAGGAAGUGAAGAGAGCUCUCCAGAACUGUACAUGUCAUUGUGACAUUACCAUUAAAGUGAAGUUAUUUAAACAUUAUUCUUUUUUCAUAUAAUAUCUUGUUUUGUUUGUGAAUUGUGUUGUCAUGGCAGCCGUCAACAAAUGUUUUCAUUUUGUCUUUUAUUGUCCAUUUAGUGCAUGCUUUUUAUAUUUUUAAAAAUUGUUUUCUUAAAGUUUACUUUCAUUCUUUUAGUAUAUAGUUUUUGUUUAAAUCUUUUGGUGAAAAAGUCUAAUUCUUUUAGUUUUAAAGUAUUAUUUUCAGAGGUUUCCAGUUUAAGACAGUCUUAUUUGGAAGUGAAAAAGAUCAAGAAACAAGGAAGUGAAGAGAGCUCUCCAGAACUGUACAUGUCAUUGUGACAUUACCAUUAAGGUGAAGUUAUUUAAACAUUAUUCUUUUUUCAUAUAAUAUCUUGUUUUGUUUGUGAAUUGUGUUGUCAUGGCGGCCGUCAACAAAUGUUUUCAUUUUGUCUUUUAUUGUCCAUUUAGUGCAUGCUUUUUAUAUUUUUAAAAAUUGUUUUCUUAAAGUUUACUUUCAUUCUUUUAGUAUAUAGUUUUUGUUUAAAUCUUUUGGUGAAAA